GUCUGUGGCCAUACCACCCUGAAUACACCCGAUCUCGGAAGCUAAGCAAGGUCAGGCCUGGUUAGUAUGUGGAUGGGAGACUAACACUAUAAUGCAACUUGUAGAGG
ensembl:rRNA 5S_rRNA 5S ribosomal RNA